CUUUGAGGAAAGGAGAUUCAGACACAAGCAAAAUGAAACUUACCUUUAUUCCUAAUUGGUAAGGCACUCAUAUAAGAAAUAGAGUAUCUGGAUUUUGCUCUGUAUAGCUUCUAAAAUAUCUAAAACUUAGUGCAAAAAAUGCACUUAGAUAUCUAUCUCAUAGGUUUUAAAGUGUAAAGGUGUAACCAAGUUUGACAUCAGAACUGUUUCUGCUUUGAGCAGAAAGUUGGACUGAAGACAUCUUGAGAUAAUGGCUGUUCAUCAAAAAAGUCGCAGAAAGUCAACUCUUCAUGCUGGAAGCUUCAUGUUUCUAAUACAAAGCAAUGGAAAAUUAAAUUAUCUGGUAGCUAAAACAUUUCUGUAUGAUUAGACCAUGGAUAUUCUAAACCUCAUUACAGUUUUCAAUAAACAUUGUAGUGUUUGCAAAAAAAAAAAAAUUAUUUAAUCCGGGAGAGAAAGGGAAGGGUGAAGGCAGUGACUGCGGUCAACUCAGUGCCUGGUGAUUGCCAGACAACUUUGCAUUGAGCAGGCAGUCCAAUCCCAGAGGUCAAUCAUCAGUGCAAGGUCAGGGCCACCAAAAAUAAAGUCCAGCCCAGCAUGUAUAUGACAUAGCUUGGAUAAAGUCUGACUCCAAGGCCAAUAGGCACAAAGUACAUGGAAGGAGAUCCAGGGAAAGCAUGAGGAAGGCAGGAAGGCAGGAAGGCAGGAAGGCAGGAAGGAAGUAAGGAAGGAAGGAAGAAAGGAAGGAAGGAAGGAAGGAAGGAAGGAGAAAAAAAAAUAAAGAAGGAACAGCUCUGAGAUUUUUCUAUGUGUAUCUGAAACAUGGCCAAAGCCAUGUAGAGACUGUAAAGAUAGCUUUAAACAACUCUCUUUUGUCCUUCUCUUUGCCAUGUUUCACUUAGAAAUUGUGACAUGAGACUAAACUUGAGACAACAUUUGGAAUUACUUCAUUAAUGAAUAAACAAGUUAUUCAGCAGACUCCAUUAAGAACUAAAGGCUCCUGCUUCCCACUUAACUGACCCAAGUUUCACACUUCUUUGUCAUAUAACUGUCCCAAUUAGUCUAGAAAAACUGUUGUUCUUGCACUGUUGUUCUGUCUUUCUUGCUAAAUAGAAUUCUGAUCUAACUAAAAUAGAUCUAUGAUCUACUUUUAAAUAAAUCAGUAAAUCAGCAUAUUUGUUACCUUUCCAUUUCUAAUACACCAUAACACCACAUUUUAUUUGUACAUCAUUCUCUAUUGUGUUAUUUUUAAUUCAUUUUUCAAUAAACUUCUAAGUUCCUGAUAAUUUUUUUGUCAGAUUUUUUACACAUUAGUCAGUCUGCCAUCUCUUCUAAGUCUGAAAUAUACACAGAAGGAAAUAACCAGCUUACUAAAGUACAUAAACAGAG
rnacentral:lncRNA from 1 species